UAGCUAGUUGGUGGGGUAAGGGCCUACCAAGGCGACGAUCGGUAGCUGGUCUGAGAGGAUGGCCAGCCACACUGGAACUGAGACACGGUCCAGACUCCUACGGGAGGCAGCAGUGGGGAAUAUUGGACAAUGGGGGCAACCCUGAUCCAGCGAUGCCGCGUGUGUGAAGAAGGCCUGAGGGUUGUAAAGCACUUUCAGUGGGGAGGAGGGUUGAUAGGUUAAGAGCUAAUUAACUGGACGUUACCCACAGAAGAAGCACCGGCUAACUCCGUGCCAGCAGCCGCGGUAAUACGGAGGGUGCGAGCGUUAAUCGGAAUUACUGGGUGUAAAGGGUGCGUAGGUGGUUGAUUAAGUUAUCUGUGAAAUUCCUGGGCUUAACCUGGGACGGUCAGAUAAUACUGGUUGACUCGAGUAUGGGAGAGGGUAGUGGAAUUUCCGGUGUAGCGGUGAAAUGCGUAGAGAUCGGAAGGAACACCAGUGGCGAAGGCGGCUACCUGGCCUAAUACUGACACUGAGGCACGAAAGCGUGGGGAGCAAACAGGAUUAGAUACCCUGGUAGUCCACGCUGUAAACGAUGUCAACUAGCUGUUGGUUAUAUGAAAAUAAUUAGUGGCGC
rnacentral:rRNA from 1 species